rnacentral:rRNA from 1 species
AACGAACGCUGGCGGCGUGCCUAACACAUGCAAGUCGUGCGAGAAAGUUCCUUCGGGAGCGAGUAAAGCGGCGCACGGGUGAGUAACACGUAGGUAACCUGCCCCCCAGUCUGGAACAACUAGAGGAAACUCUAGCUAAUGCCGGAUAAGACCACGGCCCCCUCGGGGGCUGCGGCCAAAGAUGGCCUCUACUUGUACGCUAUCGCUGAGGGAUGGGCCUGCGGGCCAUUAGCUUGUUGGUGAGGUAACGGCUCACCAAGGCUGUGAUGGCUAGCUGGUCUGAGAGGAUGACCAGCCACACUGGGACUGAGACACGGCCCAGACUCCUACGGGAGGCAGCAGUGGGGAAUAUUGCGCAAUGGGCGAAAGCCUGACGCAGCGACGCCGCGUGGGUGAUGAAGGCCUCGGUCGUAA